GGCUGGGCUGUCCUGGGCUUUGUGAGGUACCCAGCAGCAGCAUCUCUGUUUCCUGCUCACCGGAUACCAGUGUGCUAUCCUCCCGGCUGAGAUGGAUGGACGUAUCUCCAGACAUGUGCCCAUAUCCCUCCAGGAGCCAAACCAUACACCCUCUCCUCCAGUUUGGCAACAGUGACCAGAUUUUCUUUCUGGAAAUGAAUCUGCUUCCAUGAUGAGCAUUCCUCUUUUCCUGCCUUCCUGAAACCAAAGGAUGGUCCUUCAGGAUUUUGCAUCCUGAACAAAAGAGACAAAGAUGGAAAAAUAGUUGGAGUACAUUCAUCCCAAGGGAUGCUCAAAAAAAUUAAGUACCUAGAUCCAGGUCAUUCAGGAAGUGGAAAACUUGGAAUUCAAGCUCAGUCCUGACUACAAACAUGACUACUUAAAGAAAUUGUUAUGAUCACAUCAGCUUUGCAAACUUCUUGGUGAGGCUGGAGCGAUUCUCAAGAGGACAGCUUCUCCCUGUUCCCCUUCCCAGCUCUACAUUCUUCUGCUCAGACAGUAAAGAAUCUGCCUACAAUUCAGGAGACCCAGGUUUGAUCCCUGGGUCAGGAAGAUCCCCUGGAGAAGGGAAUGACUACGCACUCCAGUAUUCUUGCCUGGAGAAUUCCAUGGAGA